UACGAAGGACCCGAGCGUUAUCCGGAUUUAUUGGGUUUAAAGGGUGCGUAGGCGGACUUAUAAGUCAGUGGUGAAAUCUCCAGGCUUAACCUGGAAACUGCCAUUGAAACUGUUUGUCUUGAGUACAUUUGAGGCGGGCGGAAUGUGUCAUGUAGAGGUGAAAUUCUUAGAUAUGACACAGAACACCAAUUGCGAAGGCAGCUCGCUAAACUGUAACUGACGCUGAUGCACGAAAGCGUGGGUAGCAAACAGG
rnacentral:rRNA from 1 species